rnacentral:rRNA from 1 species
AAGGGUAGUCUUGCUAUCCUAAAUGCAUCUGAGCAUGUCUGAUCUUGGAAGCUAAGCAGAGUUGGAUCUGGUUAGCACUUGGAUGGGAGACUCAAAGGGCAGAGCACUCAUCACCAGCA